rnacentral:rRNA from 1 species
GUGGGGAAUCUUGCGCAAUGGGCGAAAGCCUGACGCAGCCAUGCCGCGUGAAUGAUGAAGGUCUUAGGAUUGUAAAAUUCUUUCACCGGGGACGAUAAUGACGGUACCCGGAGAAGAAGCUCCGGCUAACUUCGUGCCAGCAGCCGCGGUAAUACGAAGGGGGCUAGCGUUGCUCGGAAUUACUGGGCGUAAAGGGCGCGUAGGCGGACAGUUUAGUCAGAGGUGAAAGCCCAGGGCUCAACCUUGGAAUUGCCUUUGAUACUGGCUGUCUUGAGUACGGGGGAGGUGGGUGGAACUCCGAGUGUAGAGGUGAAAUUCGUAGAUAUUCGGAAGAACACCAGUGGCGAAGGCGACUCACUGGCCCGUUACUGACGCUGAGGCGCGAAAGCGUGGGGAGCAAACAGGAUUAGAAACCCUGGUAGUCC